AGGACGAACGCUGGCGGCGUGCCUAACACAUGCAAGUCGAACGCGCUCCAUUCGGUAGCAAUACUGAUGAAGAGCGAGUGGCGAACGGGUGAGUAGCACGUGAGCAACCUGCCCCGAAGACCGGGACAACACCGGGAAACCGGUGCUAAUACCGGAUAUCCCUAUCGGACCGCAUGAUCUGAUAAGGAAAUGGAUUCCGCUUCGGGAGGGGCUCGCGGCCUAUCAGCUAGUUGGUGAGGUAACGGCCCACCAAGGCAUCGACGGGUAGCUGGUCUGAGAGGACGAUCAGCCACACUGGGACUGAGACACGGCCCAGACUCCUACGGGAGGCAGCAGUGGGGAAUCUUGCGCAAUGGGCGAAAGCCUGACGCAGCAACGCCGCGUGGAGGACGAAGGCUUUCUGAGUUGUAAACUCCUUUCAGCAGGGACGAUAGUGACGGUACUGCAGAAGAAGCACCGGCAACUACGUGCCAGCAGCCGCGGUAA
rnacentral:rRNA from 1 species